rnacentral:rRNA from 1 species
GUCUUCUUGUUUGAAUAAGAAGUUUGACCUGCCCGGUGAUAUAUAAUUUUAACGGCCGCGGUAUUUUUGACCGUGCAAAGGUAGCAUAAUCAUUAGUCUUUUAAUAGGAGGCUGGCAUGAAGGGUUUGACGAGGAGUUGACUGUCUCAUUUGAUUUUAUUUUAGAAUUUAACUUUUCAGUUAAAAGGCUGAAAUUUCAUUGGAAGACGAGAAGACCCUAUAGAGUUUAAUAAUUAAUUUUAUAAUUAUGUAUUAUAUUUAAUUUAUAUAUUUAAUUAUUUUGUUGGGGUGACAAAAAUAUAUAAUUAACUUUUUUAUUUAUUUAUCAUUGAUAUAUGUACUUAAGAUCCAGUCUUAUUGAUUGUUAGAAUAAGUUACCUUAGGGAUAACAGCGUAAUCUUUCUUUGGAGUUCUUAUUUACAGAAAGGCUUGCGACCUCGAUGUUGGAUUAAGAUAACAGUUAGGUGUAGCCGCUUAAUGUGUAGGUCUGUUCGACCUUUAAAUUCUU